GAUGAACGCUGGCGGCGUGCCUAAUACAUGCAAGUCGAGCGAACAGACGAGGAGCUUGCUCCUCUGACGUUAGCGGCGGACGGGUGAGUAACACGUGGAUAACCUACCUAUAAGACUGGGAUAACUUCGGGACACCGGAGCUAAUACCGGAUAAUAUAUUGAACCGCAUGGUUCAAUAGUGAAAGACGGUUUUGCUGUCACUUAUAGCUGGAUCCGCGCCGCAUUAGCUAGUUGGUAAGGUAACGGCUUACCAAGGCGACGAUGCGUAGCCGACCUGAGAGGGUGAUCGGCCACACUGGAGCUGAGACACGGUCCAGACUACUACGGGAGGCAGCAGUAGGGAAUCUUCCGCAAUGGGCGAAAGCCUGACGGAGCAACGCCGCGUGAGUGAUGAAGGUCUUCGGAGCGUAAAACUCUGUUAUUAGGGAAGAACAAAUGUGUAAGUAACUAUGCACGUCUUGACGGUACCUAAUCAGAAAGCCACGGCUAACUACGUG
rnacentral:rRNA from 1 species